GGUGAACGCUGGCGGCGUGCCUAAUACAUGCAAGUCGAGCGAACAGACGAGGAGCUUGCUCCUCUGACGUUAGCGGCGGACGGGUGAGUAACACGUGGAUAACCUACCUAUAAGACUAGGAUAACUUCGGGAAACCGGAGCUAAUACCGGAUAAUAUAUUGAACCGCAUGGUUCAAUAGUGAAAGACGGUUUUGCUGUCACUUAUAGAUGGAUCCGCGCCGCAUUAGCUAGUUGGUAAGGUAACGGCUUACCAAGGCAACGAUGCGUAGCCGACCUAAGAGGGUGAUCGGCCACACUGGAACUGAGACACGGUCCAGACUCCUACGGGAGGCAGCAGUAGGGAAUCUUCCGCAAAGGGCGAAAGCCUGACGGAGCAACGCCGCGUGAGUGAUGAAGGUCUUCGGAUCGUAAAACUCUGUUAUUAGGGAAGAACAAAUGUGUAAGUAACUAUGCACGUCUUGACGGUACCUAAUCAGAAAGCCACGGCUAACUACGUG
rnacentral:rRNA from 1 species